rnacentral:rRNA from 1 species
UUUUAUGGAGAGUUUGAUCCUGGCUCAGGACGAACGCUGGCGGCGUGCCUAAUACAUGCAAGUCGAGCGAACAGAGAAGGAGCUUGCUCCUUUGACGUUAGCGGCGGACGGGUGAGUAACACGUGGGCAACCUACCUUAUAGUUUGGGAUAACUCCGGGAAACCGGGGCUAAUACCGAAUAAUCUGUUUCACCUCAUGGUGAAAUAUUGAAAGACGGUUUCGGCUGUCGCUAUAGGAUGGGCCCGCGGCGCAUUAGCUAGUUGGUGAGGUAACGG